rnacentral:lncRNA from 1 species
GCUUCCUUUCCUUUUCUCCAUUUCUUAACCAUAACAAGGUAUUUUUAAAAUGUUCUCAAAACUCUAAACUUAUUAUUAUGUCAAGCCAGCCCCAUGUCGAUCACAAUACAACUGUGAAGUAGUAGUAACAAAACAUGAAUUAUAUUAUUUUAAACUUUCUCUUUAGGUGGUAAUUCAGAAAUGGAAAAAAAUAAGGUCAAGGUCAACCUCAAUAUGAAAGGCAGUUAUUUGAGACCCUUAAUCAACUGUUUAAAAAAUUACUCGUCUAGCUUUUAAACGCCCGAACAUACAUAUAGCUCACAUUUUUCUUAUUUCGUCACACGAAAGACAUUUACAAAAAAACAUGAUACAUCCUUAAAAGUUAAAUCAGAAAAAAAU